CGCUAUCAUCCUACGGGAGGCAGCAGUGGGGAAUAUUGCACAAUGGGCGCAAGCCUGAUGCAGCCAUGCCGCGUGUAUGAUGAAGGCCUUCGGGUUGUAAAGUACUUUCAGCAGUGAGGAAGGCGGGUACGUUAAUAGCGUGCUUGUUUGACGUUAGCUGCAGAAGAAGCACCGGCUAACUCCGUGCCAGCAGCCGCGGUAAUACGGAGGGUGCGAGCGUUAAUCGGAAUUACUGGGCGUAAAGCGCAUGCAGGUGGUUUGUUAAGUCAGAUGUGAAAGCCCGGGGCUCAACCUCGGAAUUGCAUUUGAAACUGGCAGACUAGAGUACUGUAGAGGGGGUAGAAUUUCAGGUGUAGCGGUGAAAUGCGUAGAGAUCUGAAGGAAUACCAGUGGCGAAGGCGGCCCCCUGGACAAAGACUGACGCUCAGAUGCGAAAGCGUGGGGAGCAAACAGGAUUAGAUACCCUGGUAG
rnacentral:rRNA from 1 species